rnacentral:rRNA from 1 species
GACGAACGCUGGCGGCGUGCCUAACACAUGCAAGUCGAACGGAAAGGCCCUGCUUUUGCGGGGUUCCCGCGAGGGGCGGGGGGGUGAAACACGUGAGUAUCCCGCGCUUGACUGGGGGGUAUCUGCAGGAGACUGGGGAUAACACAGGAGAGGAGAUCUUGAUGCAGGGGGGUCGUAGGAAAGAAUCGGCGGUGGGGGAUGGACUUGGGGUUUACCAGCUUGUUGGUGGGGUUAUGGCUUAGGAAGGCUUCCAAGCGUAGUCGACCGGAGAGGGGGGUCGGCCACAUUGGAACUGAGACAGGCUCCAUACUCCUACGGGAGGCACCAGUCGGGAACGUUCGGCAAUGGGCGAAAGCCUGACGCAGCGAGGCCGCGCGUGUGACGAAGGUCUUCGGAUCGUAAAGCCCUUUUACUUGUGAGGAACCGCUGUCAGCUUAUACGUUGCCGUCUUGACGGUACCUAGUAAAAAAGCACCGGCUAACUACGUG